rnacentral:rRNA from 1 species
AUUGAACGCUGGCGGCGGGCCUAACACAUGCAAGUCGAGCGGAUGAAGGGAGCUUGCUCCUGGAUUCAGCGGCGGACGGGUGAGUAAUGCCUAGGAAUCUGCCUGGUAGUGGGGGAUAACGUCCGGAAACGGGCGCUAAUACCGCAUACGUCCUGAGGGAGAAAGUGGGGGAUCUUCGGACCUCACGCUAUCAGAUGAGCCUAGGUCGGAUUAGCUAGGUGGUGGGGUAAAGGCCUACCAAGGCGACGAUCCGUAACUGGUCUGAGAGGAUGAUCAGUCACACUGGAACUGAGACACGGUCCAGACUCCUACGGGAGGCAGCAGUGGGGAAUAUUGGACAAUGGGCGAAAGCCUGAUCCAGCCAUGCCGCGUGUGUGAAGAAGGACUUCGGAUUGUAAAGCACUUUAAGUUGGGAGGAAGGGCAGUAAGUUAAUACCUUGCUGUUUUGACGUUACCAACAGAAUAAGCACCGGCUAACUUCGUG